rnacentral:lncRNA from 1 species
GAACUUCUGAAACCAUUGCUACCUUGUUACCCAGAAGCAGAUGUCGAAGAACUCAAUUUCCCUUGCAGCUUCCUGCUCAAAACUUUGCUCCUACUCCUGCCUCUAAGCGGACGCGAACUCUAUUCUUUCCAACCAAAGACCAGGGCUAACUGUUGAGUGAGAUCAGGCAUAUGUUUUCUGUGCAGCUGCUUUGCAACAGAAGGAACCCCAAAGAAAGCUUGAACCUCCUGGCUGACUCGUGCCACCUGCUCGGUUAGGAGUCUCUCCCCACAGGAAGAUGCGCCUGUGCCUGCAUGCAGUUCAUGUCCCAUAAGCAUCCACAAAAUCAUCUCCUGGGUCACAGGGUUAGUGGCAAUGCUGAACACCAAAAGGCAGUCAGCUGCUGCUGAUGGCUCUGUCUUUUGCUGUACGAGACAAUUCCUAGGACUCAUGGUGAAGCCUCAAGCAACAAAAAGGUCUCCAAGGAAGUGAUGAUUUAGGUAACCAAAGGCCAGCCCAUUUUGGACUUGAAAGCAAUGACUAUGCCUUAAAAUGUGAGGCAACAGUCAGCUCUGCAUUCCUGAGGUCACCUGCACUGGGCUACAGCACUGCAGCUACUGAUGCAACAAAUUCCAUUUCACACUGUAAGGAACCCAAUUAACCUCCCAGAUUACGGAUGCCAGCAGGUAGAGCAGCAGUCACCUUCCCCAAAGUAAUAUGUACUGCUUUGGCCUUCUUCCUCACAUCACGGGGCUGGGUAGCUGCCUUUCUUUCUGUCAUCAUUGCAAUCAUGAGGUUUGCUGUAGAGGAGCUAAAAUGCCAACAACAUCAGCACCUCCAGCAGCUCGAUGCAGACUUGACACAGCAGGGAGGACACAACCAGCGUCUCAGAUCCAGGUCCUGCAGUUCAUCAGCAACACUGGAAAAUGAGCUGGUAGGAGCAGUGCUUGGCCACCUCCUGGCUCACAUGGGCCAUGUGCUGCUUCUACACUGGGUCCAUGGACCCUUUCACUCUAGACGCAUGGGAUUGCUACUGGAGUUGUCUUGCUUCCAGGUUUCCAAAGAGGACAGAUGGAUGCCAAUUGUGACAAUGGAUUGCUCCAGACACCUUUAUUUUUUCACGUCAGAAACCAUUUUUAUUUCUUGUAAAAGCAAAAAUAGUAUCACACACUGAUUAAAAAGCCACCCUUCUCCCCUCCCCCACCAAAACCCCAGUCGUAACAAAGAUAAUCACUCUUGUGAAACUUCACAAUAAGACAUUUCAAUGAAAUAGUAGAUGUUUACUAUUUUGUUCAUGUAAGACAUGUAACUAUCCUAUAGUUCUAGAGAAACUAGCCAGGAAGGACAGUUAUCACAGAAUAGCCAAGGUUGGAAGGGACCUCUGGAGAUCAUCUAGUCCAACCCCCCCUGCUCAAGCAGGGUCAUCUAAAGAUGGUGAAAGAAGUUGUACAUCAGUCCUAAUUCAGCAAGAUACUCUGCAACCUUGCCCUUAGAGUACACGACAAAUCCUAUUUGAGUCAUGGGCACUACACACAAUCUCAUAACAGGCUGCUGUGUGCACAAACUGGGUGAAAUUAAAGAACCAAAUCUGAAAAUCCCUAAAUCUGUCUAUGCAAGACAGUGAAAUCAUACCUUUAACACUAGUAUGUGAAAACAUUAAUGUGCAUAUAUUCUUGAACUGGCAUUCAUCUGGCACUUUGUAAUGCUAAAUAUUAGUCUUUCCAACUAUUUAUACAGAUGCAUGAACAUCAACUGGAUUUGAAUGAUGCUAUAGCAACAUGUCCUAUCAAAACCAGUUACCACUUGAAUUUAUCUAACAUAUGCAACAAAUGCCAUUUACAGGCAAACAAUUUCAUUCAGAAUAACCGCACUAACAAAGACAUUCAAGAUAAAGAACUGUUCUGUUGGGGGUCAGUUUGCAGACAAGAAAUACCAUUUGCAGGGCCAAGUAUGAGUACAGUUAGUCCAGGUCAACUGGAUACUAUACACGAGUUUCCUGAACUGGCCUCGGGCUCUCCCCAUUUGCUAUUCUUCAGUUCCCAG